rnacentral:lncRNA from 1 species
UCCAUUUAUGCGACAAGUACUUCCAAAUGGAGGGUACAAAAUACUUUGCACCUUUGGAACUCACAGCUAAUUAGCCCACGACACCUGUGGAUCUCAGGCUUGAUUCAUCUGAAGACCGCAUCCAAACUCACAUUUUUGUUAAAAAAAUGAAUUGAGCUCCCAUAGAUUAAAAGUGGCUCUAGAUGUUGGGAUCACCAUUGAGUUUUUCUUUCUAUGUCGGCUGGAAAGGGAGAUGACCAUCUGAGAUUGAAGAGUUCUUGAGAUAAAUAAGCUGCCUGAUUAAAUCCACCUUAGCAGCUAACAGACGUACCCAAGAAACUUGAAAUAUACUUCUUUGCCACCGGGCAAGAUAAUGGACUCGGGCUCACAGGAAAAGCUGGCAUGCGUGCUGAUUUCGAAGCCUCUGCACUGCAAUUAGAAAGAUGCAUCAUCUAACAAAAAGAUAAGAAAUCAUUGUCCUAUCAAGCAAUGUCAAAAUUAAUUCUAAAAUAAAUAUAACUGAGAAAUGGAUAAAAUAAACAAGGGUUGUUCUAAUUAUACUACAUUGUGUAUGACAAUGCGAAAUAAGCUAUUUGAUCUAUCAUUGAUUGAUCGGAUCAAAAGAGCCUCUCUCACUACCAUAUCAAAUACUCCCUCCAUUCCGAAUUACUUGUCGCAGAAAUGGACAGGAAUGGAUAUAUAUAAAACUAAAAAUACAUGUAGAUACAUCCAUUUAUUCGACACGUCAUUCGGGACAGAAGGAGUGCAAACCAGCUUACUAAGACAUUGAUCCAUAAUUUAUUCAUUGCCAUGAUUCAAAACUAUAAAUACUGGACACACUAUUUCAUCACAAAAACAAAGGAAGUCAUAGCUCGUACAUCAGAAUGGGCACAACAAGCCUACAAAAAAAAUUCAUCCUAGACUAAGACUUUUUCACUGAACCUAUUGCUCUCAUAUCCUACGCAACUCCAAGGCCUAAUCGGACUAUAAUACUCGGUACUAACUACAAACCAUAGGGUAGCGGGAAAAUCUACAGAAUUGUAACCAGAUGAUUCGUUGCGCACAUCCGAUAUAAAUGAAAGUGAUGUACUGUGACCUUUUCUAUGUAUACUUGAACAUAAAAGGUAAAAAUGCAAGAGACUACUAAUAGAGCUGCUGAUGACACAUCAAAGCUUGUUGACAGAACAGAAUAUUGCAUUUUUUAAUCGAAAAUGUGGCCUUGGUUGGAUCCUCCGAGCAAGUUUCCAUAUUCGAGACUAAUGAAAUUUUACAUUGCUCAGACCGGCAAUAAUUACAGUCUAAUAGCGAGAACACCAGUAAAACCUCCAACAAAAUGGUAGAAACACUCUUAAAAUACUGCUACUAAUAAACAAAUGUUAAAAGCAGGGGUGCCACAAUGAUGGUUUUAACUAAGAAUAAAGAGCAGUAACAUGAACUGGGGUAAGCCGACUCUAGAGACUUGUAAUAGAGCUGCUGAUGACACAUCAAAGCCUGUUGAUAGAAUAGAAUCUUGCAUCUUAUUUAUAAAAAAUGUGGCCUUGGUUGGAUCCUCCGAGCAAGUUUCAAUAUUAAGACUAAGCAAGGCAAAUUUACCAAGAUCAGGCUAGCAACUAUUACAGCCUAAUAUCGUGAACACCGCGAGAACCUCCAUAAAAAUGGUAGAAACACUUCAAAAAUACUGCUACUAACUAGAAGAACGCUAAAAAGGAGGAGUGCCACACUGAUGGUAUUAACUAAAGAGUAAAGAGCAGUAAGAACAAGAUGUUUAGUACAGUUACCUUUAAAUAAACCGAACAAUGUAGAAUAUUUGGUCUUCAACCCACGCCCUUCAUGCCCAUUGAUGCUGCAAUAUUACGAUCGGGGACAAGUCAACAUAAAGGGUGUAAGAAAUAUCCUCCCAAAAGUGAAGACGGAAAUAGAUGUGGUUACGUAAGUACCAUGCAUUCCUAUUUUGCAGUUAUCAGAACAUCAGAACAUCAGUGUUGAUCUUUAUCAUCUUGUAAGGUGCCACGGUCAUGCGUUGCCACGGAAAAAGAAAGUUAUGAAAAAUGUCAAAGUUUCUCUCCUCUUCCCUUCCUCACACACACAUGUCUGAUUCAUGGUACAAAUUUAUGUAUCUAUUAGAGAAGAACAAAAACAAAGGAUUCCCCUCACUUUAUAUCUCCUAUACCUAAAAUUGCUUUUAGGCGACUAAAUUUGCUAAUUCUAUGCUCUAAUAAACCAAAUGAAAGAGAGGGCAUAUCAAGUUGAAACCUUGAGUUUCCCUUCAAGAAAAGUUGGAGCCGUGAGCUAAAUACAAGAACCUAAAGAGAUAACCUUCAAAAUGUUCUCACCGGGGAAAACCAUCUAAAACAAUCAACAUACAGAGGUCAUGGACUUGGAAGAAAUCUGCAACAAAUCAAGAGAGUCCGAUAGAGAUGUGAGAGCUCACCAACUUUUCUGACACACGAAAUUGAAAUAUUCUUAGUCCGUAAAUCAGUAAAGCAAUUAAAGUGAAGCGUAACAUUCCAGCUCUAAAAAUCACUCACAGUGGUGCAUAUGCUCUCAGUUUUGAUCAUAAUAAGCCAAUAAAAUGGAUUUUGUUUCUUAUUAUACCAUCGGAAAAGUUAUUGUACAGAAAUAUUUAGUCAAUUUUGUCCAGAAACUGUCAAUACAGAACUGUUGAAAUCAAAUGUUAUUACUUCACCAGCCUUCACUAUCUUAGUUUCACAAAAAAAUGCAACCAACAGACCGAGAAAUUAAGAGUCAGAAAAUCGAACUAAUGUAAUGAGACAACAUGUAAUGGCACUGCAUGUACAGUGAAGUUUGCCAAGCUUGCAGUGUGAGCGAAAAAUGCUAAUUGUUCCUUGUUGGUUUAAGCAACAACGAAACUUGAGGCCUCAAAAUACAUUACAUCAAUGUAACACUAUCUCAGUGGUCUCAAACCUAUCGAUGCACGCAGCUUGUUCUA